AGUGAACGCUGGCGGUAGGCCUAACACAUGCAAGUCGAACGGCAGCACAGUAAGAGCUUGCUCUUACGGGUGGCGAGUGGCGGACGGGUGAGGAAUACAUCGGAAUCUACUUUUUCGUGGGGGAUAACGUAGGGAAACUUACGCUAAUACCGCAUACGACCUACGGGUGAAAGCAGGGGAUCUUCGGACCCUGCGCGAUUGAAUGAGCCGAUGUCGGAUUAGCUAGUUGGCGGGGUAAAGGCCCACCGAGGCGACGAUCCGUAGCUGGUCUGAGAGGAUGAUCAGCCACACUGGAACUGAGACACGGUCCAGACUCCUACGGGAGGCAGCAGUGGGGAAUAUUGGACAAUGGGCGCAAGCCUGAUCCAGCCAUACCGCGUGGGUGAAGAAGGCCUUCGGGUUGUAAAGCCCUUUUGUUGGGAAAGAAAAGCAGCAGGUUAAUACCCCGCUGUUCUGACGGUACCCAAAGAAUAAGCACCGGUUAACUUCGUG
rnacentral:rRNA from 1 species